UACGAAGGGGGCUAGCGUUGCUCGGAAUCACUGGGCGUAAAGCGCACGUAGGCGGACUUUUAAGUCGGAGGUGAAAUCCUGGAGCUCAACUCCAGAACUGCCUUCGAUACUGAGAGUCUUCGAGUUCGGGAGAGGUGAGUGGAACUGCGAGUGUAGAGGUGAAAUUCGUAGAUAUUCGCAAGAACACCAGUGGCGAAGGCGGCUCACUGGCCCGAUACUGACGCUGAGGCGCGAAAGCUAGGGGAGCAAACGGG
rnacentral:rRNA from 1 species